GAAGCCGCAGUAAAAUGGGAGGGGCUAAAGCGCAAUCCAGCAUGACCCGGCGUAAAGGAUCCAUAGACGGUAGAUUCAGUUCUUGGUUAAAUAGCAUACCUAGCCCAAGA
rnacentral:rRNA from 13 species